rnacentral:rRNA from 1 species
ACGAACGCUGGCGGCGUGCCUAACACAUGCAAGUCGCACGGGACCCGCAAGGGUUCAGUGGCGGACGGGUGCGUAACACGUGAGGAACAUGCCUAUCGGCGGGGGAUAGCCGGCCCAACGGCCGGGUAAUACCGCGUACGCUCACCCGGGGGCAUCUCCGGGUGAGGAAAGCAGCAAUGCACCGAUAGAGUGCCUCGCGGCCUAUCAGCUAGUUGGUGGGGUAAUGGCUCACCAAGGCAACGACGGGUAGCUGGUCUGAGAGGAUGAUCAGCCACAUUGGGACUGAGACACGGCCCAGACUCCUACGGGAGGCAGCAGUGGGGAAUCUUGCGCAAUGGCCGAAAGGCUGACGCAGCGACGCCGCGUGUGGGAUGACGGCCUUCGGGUUGUAAACCACUGUCGGAAGGGACGAAUGGCCCGCAAGGGCAGUGACGGUACCUUCAAAGGAAGCACCGGCUAACUCCGU